AGUCCUGUGACCUGGUAAGUCAGCAUCUCACGUGGUCAGCAUGCUCCCCAACAGUUAAACCCGUAGCCCUACGUGAUGGGCAUAGAAAUCUCUCUGACUUCUUCAGCGCUGUGUGACAUUUCAAAACCCACUGAACGCAGCACUUCCACUUAACCAGACCUGUCCCGAUGCUGAUGUGCUGUGUCCAGCUCCACGGCCCCAAGCAGGGUCCCCUCGGACCCCCUCAGACCAACCCUUGCUGAACCCAGGACCCCCCUCCAGCGAGCCCCUCUACUGGUUGGCCAACUGGGAUGGACCUAGAGCCCUGCCCAGCAGUCCUGUGGAAGGCACGCAGUCAUGGAAUUUCCCUGAUCCUGACGGCACCAAUCCCAAAGACUUGCGUUCUUGAACCCACCCUCUACUGAGCUGCCCACAGUUCCCCACAGGUGAUUUCUCUCCGUAACAGCAAUGAAUGCAGGUUGUUAGAGCACAGAUGUGCUCCCUGGUGGCCUUUGGUUGGAGGGCUUUGGCAAAUGUCGGAAUUCUUCAAGUGAAGUCCAUACAGCUGCUCUCUUUCUCUUACUAAUGUUGGUCACCUGGGAGCAUAAUUCUGGGGAGUUGAUUUCCUAAAAGACCCUAGACACCCACAUGUGUGCACGUGAACAUGCAUGCACACUCAUGCACGUAUGCACACAUAUAUACACAUGCAGCCACAUGCUUGCACAAAUAUACAUAUGUGUACACACCCAUGCAUGCACAUGCAUGCAUACACCCACAUAUGCAUGCCUGUGUUCACAAAUUGCAUGUACAUGCCCACACAUGCACACACAUACCUGCACACACAACCCAGGUGUCAUGUGGGAAGGGCAAAGGGCUUGUGUCAGGAGGAUGGUCUACCUCUACAUCUCCCAUCUGGGCUGCCUAAGCAGAGGCCAUGGGCCCAGAACAUUCUCUAAUAAGGAGGCUGGGAAUUGGUCUCUCUUUUUCUUUUCCAGUCCCUUCUCCUUUCAGAGAAGCCUUUUUCUCUGGCACACAGUAACUGUCUCCGUUCUGCUCAUGCAUGGGCACCAUAUGGCACCUGGCCAACCCAUCCCUAUGUCUGUUUCUGGUGGGGCCUCCCUUGACUGUGGCACAACAGUGGUGUGCACGGGACAUCUACCCUGUACGCGCCGCAAGGGGUGAUUCGUUGGCCCACAGUGGAAGCUGAUAACAUUUCAUUUCUUCUCUCUGUGGGUAAAGUGUUGUUCCACACUCUAUCAGAACCUGUCGUUUGUGCCUUGUUGGCAACCUCAAACUUGUUAUGACAACUCAAAAAGGGGCCAGGUUGGUUUGUAAAACCACCUUGUCUGUAUGUGCACUUUGUCUGUCCUGAGAAACGCCAGGCAUGUUUUCCCCCCAGGGAAGGGUGAGGGGGGGACACUGUCAAAACAACUUUCACUUUCUCCUUUGACCACUUCUGAGUAGUUUGAGCCAUUUUCAGCAGCAUGUUUCACUUUUAUAAGCAAAAGGCCCACAGAGUGGCGCACUAAUAUUCACUGUGUGUAAAGGCCCAGGGGACUUCCCUGGUUUUCCUCAGAACUGCCUGGCAGUUCCGGACAGUUCCAGACAGUUCUAGUCUACUGCACACCCCUUCCCCCCAAACCGGGGCUGUAGGUUCAAAAAUGAGUCAAACCCAGCCCUGUUCCCAAGGGGUCACCUCCAGCCCGUGUGGAGGCAAGGACAGUUCUGGGGUCAGUGAGCAGAUGUGGAGUGGGGAGGGGGACGCAUUACUCCUGUAGGGUGGAGAUGAGGGGAGGAAGGAAAGAAGGGAGGAAGAGGGUAGGGGAGGGGCAGUUGGAGGACAGGAAGACGAAGGAGAGGGAACAGGAGGUGGAAGGAGGGGCAGCUGGAGGAGGAGAGCCUUUUCGCCUUCCCAAUCUGGACUCUGAUGACCCCAAUGCAGCCAAAGACCCCUGCAGGAAGGCCCGACCCAGGGCAAACACCCUCCACACACCCCUGUUCCCCCUUCUCCAUCCUCUUCCCCUCCCUCCAGAGCCAGCUGGGGCUCUGGAGCAUGAGCAGCCCCUAACCUGUGUUCUCAGGACACUGAGGGGCAGUUGUGCUCUGGGCCAGCCUUCAGGGUGAGUUGGCCCCCUGCCUUGUGCGAAGCUGUAUAGACAGACAGCAAAGAUCAGCCCUGGAAGCCAAGCCACAGAUUCUGUCACCAUCAGUCCAAAAGGGUCCACACCAACUUAGGGCCACUGGAGAAAGCAGAAUAUGCUCCCUAACCAAUCAUACGAGUGUUGCCUCUAGUCACCCUGCUCUCCACACCUGCACCCAGCUUCCCACGCCAACGCCUACCCAGGGCGCACUGGAAGCCUUUCCUGUUUUUACUCUAAGCUUCCUGUGAUGGUUAAGGUUGGGUGUCAGCUUGACUGGGUCAUGAUUCUCAGUGGUUUGGCAGUUAUGAUGUAGUUUGGCAGUUAUGUAAUAAUGUCAUCACCUCUAUGAUGAGAUUUGUUAUGAGCAGCCAAUCAGCUUCCUUGGGGAGGUUUCCUCGGGGGUGUGGCCUGCAUCCAAUAUAUAUGGACUUUCUGGCAAAGCUGGCUGGCUUUUGCUCCUUCUAGAUCCUGUACCCAGCUCGUAAUCAUAUGACCUCCAGUUCUUGGGACUUGAGGCAGCAGCCUGCGAUAUGAUCUGCCGAUCUUGGGUUCAUCAGCCCCUGCAGCUACUUGAGUCAGGAGGAGCCUCCAACCUGACACUUGACCCACACACAGACUUGGAACUUGCCAGCCUCUACAACCACAUGAGCCAUUCCCUUGAUGCCAUCCAGUUGGUUCCGACUCAUAGUCACCCUAUGUCAACAGAAUGAAACACUGCUUGGUCCUGUGCCAUCCUUGCAGCCACUAUGUCAACCCUUCUCGUUGAGGAUCUCCCUCUCUUUCGAUGACCCUUUACUUUACCAAGCAUGAUAUCCUUCUCCAGGGACUUGUCCCUCCUGAUAACAUGUCCAAAGUAUGUGAGAUGAAGUCUCACCAUCCUUGCUUCUAAGGAGCAUUCUCGCUGUACCUCUUCCGAGACAGAUUUGUUCAUCUUUCUGGCGAUCUAUGGUGUAGUCAAUAUUCUUUGCCACACACACGUACACAUAUAUAUAAAUCCAUUAAAAAAAAAAAAAAAAACCAUUGCCAUCAAGUUGAUUCCAACUCAUAGCGACCCUAUAGGACAGAGUAGAACUGCCCCAUAGGGUUUCCAAAGAGCAAGUGGCUGGAGGAUUAGAACACCAACUUUUUGGUUAGCAGCUGUAGCUCUCAACCUCUAUGCCACCAGGGCUCCAUAUAUGUAUGUGUGUAUAUAUAUAUGUGUGCAUGCAUAUAUAUGUAUAUAUAUAUUCCUUUAUAUAUAUACAUAUACAUAUACGUAUACGUAUACAUAUACAUAUAUACAUUUCACUGGUUUUACUUCUCUAGAGAACCCAACCUAAGACACUUCUCCCACCCUGCCUUCAUCCAAAGGGAAGAGACAGUGGCCGGCACCUGCAUGUCCACUCUGACUUAACUGCCUCUGCUUGUGACCAUUGGGGGUCUCCAUUCAUCUCUACCUUUGCUACAGGAGGGAGCGGAAGCCUGGGGGUCUGAGGCCCCAGGAGGAAAGACAGCUAGGGGGGGUGGUGAGGAGCCCCCCUCCCUCACAAUGUCACAGAUACCAUUUGUAUUGGGGGAAACUGAAGCCCAGAGUGGCUCAGAGUCCUUAACCUUGCCCACUGCUCGUUUCCUAGUGACUGCCCCCUAGGGCAGGUCCAGCAGAGAGAGCCACCUGUAGCAGGGUCCCUCCUGAAAUGUAAGCCCCACGCCCCUGUAGGAGCCCCAAGGGCGGGGACCUUUCUGCUCACUCAUGCCCAUGUCCCCCAUCCCUGGCCCAGCUCAGGAACUCAGCGCUCAUGAUUGGAUAAUGUUAGAAAUGCACACGUUAACCAAACCCAUUGCCACCAAGUUGAUUCUGACUCGUAGCAACCCUACAGGACAGAGUAGAAUUGCCCAAUAGGGUUUCCAAGGAGUGCCUGCUGGAUUUGAACUGCUGACAAGGGCCACAUUAGGAGGAGGGAAAAAGUGGCUCCAAAUCUCCUAGGCAGGACCCGGGAAGCUGCAUCUGAGCUAGCCACCAGGGGAUUUGAGAAAGAUAUCUGAAAAGACAUGUGCUUGCCAAUGCAGGGAGGUGGCAGGGCAGAGGUCUCUGGGCAUUUGACCAGUCUGUGCUCAUGCAGCUUUGGCAAGUUCUGGUGCAUUGUGGACCCUCUACCCAGGGGAGAAAAAGGGCCACGUGCCCCAGAGGGCGCCCAUGCUGCAGUACCCAGGGCCCUAGCCCCGGGGUGGGGGGGAGUGGUGGGAGUAGAGCUAGGGCAGCCCCUGAUUCCCAUGGCUCCUGAUUCAGGACCUGCCAAGCCCCCCAGAGUUGAAGCAGGUCAGAUACCCCACAGAGACCAGAGUGUGGUAACCCUUGGAGGGAGGGCCGUGUUGUAGGGCCCAAGCAAGUCUCUGUCUUCUCAGUCACUGUAGUACUGUUCACAGGCCCACUGUGUGAGUGUUGGGGUGGCCAUGGAUGGCACCUGAUGAACAGCUGAUUCAGUCCUUCUCUUCGGUGAGGCACUCUGCUAGGCAUGAAGCAGGGUGACCAGACUGUUGCUCUCUGCACCCAUGUUAUCAAAGGUCUGCCGAGUGUACCAAAGGGGUAGCUCAGUGCUGUGCCUCUCCCAGGGGGAAGAGGAAUGGUGGGAGGAACAUUCCUGACCUUUACCUUGGAGGGACCCACUGGACCCUAUCUGACACUACGUGGAGCCCCUGGUUCUCAGUAGAGCUGGUGGCCACUCCCUGAUGCACCUGGGUUUCAUCGGGUGUCUACAGGGUGGCUCCUCCCUGCUCAGGUCCUGUUAACCACAUGUCCACAAGAUGCUGGACGGGCCUGAGGACCCAGGGAACUUCCCAGUGACCAAGUUCCCUGUGACAGCCAUGUGAGGGAAAAGAGGCCAGAGAGGACCCUGGGCCUCUCUAAAAGCCAACCGCAGCAACCACUUCCUGCAAACACGCUGCACUCUGUCUUGUCUGCAACGCCAAGUGUUCUUGCUCCAGAGAAUGCUAUGUAAAACAUGAAGAAGCCCUCUGAGUGGAGGCAUAUUUUGCACAUCAGCAGCCCAUAGAGCUGGUCAACCUACCAGCCCUGGUGAUUCUUGCUCAGCCUGGUGCAGAGCUUCCCAGCGGCCCUGGCAUGUGCUGCAGCUCAUGGAGACCACGUCACUACCAUUCUUGCGAAAACAUGUGGCUUUGUAAGGAAGGGGGACUCGCACAGGGACAUGGAACUAUACUGCUGAAGUUGAGUUUUCUGACUUCGAGAACAAUUUCACUUCUUUUUAAAAGUAUGACCAUAAGCAUGUGUUCCCUGAAUUAUCCCCAUGGAAAAUAAAAAGAUUUCUCAACUUUACCUUUCUUUUUCAUUUUCACAAUUGGACUUACUUGCACAGGCAAAUGUUGAUCAGAUGAACUAAAUGUUGGUGUGUUAAGACAUGGUCAGCUUUGAUUUUGUAAUGACCACUGCCUGGUCUGAGAAAAUGCCUCUCUCCAAGGCAGCCUGCCCAGACAGGCUCAUCCAUUCAUUCAUUCUCUCAUUCAUUAUGCUCUUUCAUUCAUUCAUUUGCUCAUUCAUUCACCAGCAUGGGUGGAGCACUCCCCACAUGCCCAGCCAGGACGUACCCCUUAUGUCCCAAUGACACACCCUCUAUUUCCAUGUCAAGGCCCUGUUCGAGGGGUGUCAAUGAGGGGUACGUUAUUAUGGGUGGAACUGUGUCCCCCCAAAAUAUGUGUAUCAAUUUGGCUAUGCCAUGAUUCCCAGUACUCUGUGAUUGUCCACCACUUUGCUGUGUGUCGUGGAUCCCACCAAUAUGACGUUAAUGAGACAGAUUGGCGGCAGUUGUGUUGACAAGAUCUAAAGGUAUUAGAUUCUGUUUUAAGUCAAUCUCUCUUGAGAUAUAAAAGAGUGGCCGGGGGACCUCAUACCACCAAGAAAGCUGUGUCGGAAGCAGAGCGUAUUCUUUGGACCCAGGGUUCCCGCACGGAGAAGCUCCUAGUCCAGGGGAAGAUUGAUGACAAGGACCUUCCUCCGGAGUUGACAGAGAAAGGCUUCCCCUAGAGGUGACUCCCUGAAUUUGGACUUUUAGCCUACCAGACUGUAAGAAAAUAAACUUCUGUUUGUUAAAGCCAUUCAGCUGUGGUACUUCUGUUACAACAGCACUAGAUGACUAACACAAUUGUCAUCUGACAUCCCCUGGCCUGGGACUUUUCUCAUUGCUGUGUUCCCACACUCAUGCUUAGAGAGCACUAUGCUCCCUAAGAGCUGGGACAGGCAGGAAAGAAGGAGAACGCCAGCCAGCUUCCAGGGAAGGUGGUUGUAACAGCCCAGUUUAUUGAAAGCCUACUGGGUGGCAGCUGUGGCUGGUGGUUCCAUUAGGUGGGGACACUGGAAGAGGUAGGUGGUCUCUCCAAGGUUAUAUAUGGAAAGUGGGGGUCCAUCUCAUUUUGUGGACUGAAUUGGAAUAUUCAAGCAAGAAGGCCACUAAGAGAUGGCCUAAUACCACCCCCUUGUUCAGUCGAGGACAGCCAGUGACUACCCAGAGUCUCCCCUGGGCCUGCAGGCUCUUGCCCAGCACCCCCUCCCCAUCUCACCACACAGUGAGAGGAACCCCCAGGACCAGGCACAACUCAGACCCAAGUCCCUGUAACUCUCACUCCAGUCACUGAGUGUCACUGAGCAUCUCUGAGACUCUGUCUGGGACAUGGAGAAGCUGCCACCCACCACCUGCUGGAAAGGCUGGGACACCCAUAGGGAGGGACCUGGAGCCUAAGCUAGAACUGGACAAAGCGGCUUCUGGGGCAGAGGGAAGGAGGCUGGAGGCUGCUCCUUCCUGCCCAUACCUCAAUGAACUUUUCCAGGCCUUUGUUCCUGAGCCCACGUGCCCUCCUCAAGCAAAGGGCACAGUGCACCCCCAAAUAAGACGCGCUGCCAAGGGGAUCCCCCAACACUGCUGCUUGAAUAUCUGACAAAGACGGCAGAUCAUCUUUCUGGGAAUUGACAGUUCUGUUUACCAGGAAGCAGAGGGUUCUAGAAAACCAGUCAGGGCAGUCUCCAUAGCCACAGCCUCACCCUGGGCAAAGGGCAGGAAAUAGGCCCAAAGCCAAGGGAGGUGGGGCUCCACUGUAGGCACUGGGUUGGGGAUGGGCAGACCCCUGAUAAGGAAGCUGGGGUCCCCUGAGCUGGCUGGGCUCUACCUUGAGUCCAGGGCUCCUGGGACUGCAGGAAGGCAUGCCUCUGUUCAGCUCAUGAACAUUUAUUAGGCAUCUACUGUGUCUUUUUUUUUUACUGUGUGUGCUGGGCAAGUGGCCCAGGAAUGCUGUCACAUCUGCUCCCUCCCACUGGGGAGAGGCAUGUAAGAGUUGGGAUACAUGGAACCUGAUUGCGAGGCUGGGCCCUGAGGUGGACACUGCUAAUCUGAGGCAGGGUCAGCUCAGGGUGCUGUGAGUGGGGACCUUGAGCCAUCCUGGCUCAGAGGGAGAGAGGCAUAAACAAGGUGGCCCUCUCCACGCUGGUCCUCCCUCAUUUCUAAACUGGUUGGGUCUGGACAGGGCUGGUGCUUCCUGGACACAUACGUAACCUUGCCUUCUGUGGCUCAGCAACCCCCAUUUCCCGGAACAUGCAGAGAAAACACCAGGUGUGGUUUCUGAGGUCACUCCCCAUGUCCACCCAGCAGCCUCAAGGGUGACCCCUAGUGGCAGCUGAGAAAGUAAGGGCAAGCGCCGCUGGGCCUAGGGGUGGGGCAUGCAGCAAGAGAAUGGUGAGUCCUAACACAGAGGGACCUCCCCCUCCGCCCUGGCCCAGCGGUUGAGGAGCGUGGAUUUGGACACUCCUCCCCUUCCUGGGAGCUGCAGAAACUGCCAACCAGGCCCUUCCCGCACUGGGUCCAGUGUCACCCAGCCCUUUCUGGGACCCAGACCCUGCCAGCAAGCUGUAUCCUCUUCAGCCCCCAGGAGACGCUGGGGAGGUGGCAGGUCCAGGUGCCACCAGGGGGCAGCAGAACCUAGACCCUGUUGCUCCUAGGUGUAGCCGUAGUACAUAGGGUCUGUCCUCUAUGGGCUGUCUCCUCUGUCCCUCACACUCCAUGGAGUCAAGAGAUCCUGGUGGGCUGUGGAUGUGGGGCUUGUGCCUCCUGCAUCCCCUCGAGAAUGUCCCCCAGGGAAAAAUGGCCAGCGCUCCCUCUGGCUCUGCUCACAGUGAGGGACUCUGGGCGUAGCCCAGGACAAAGAGAGGUGCUUCCCAACCCUAUAGCAGUGUUGGAGGAGGCGAUGCGCACCGGGGAAUAACUGGAGGGCAAAACAUGGGGUACCAGAGGGACAGGUGCUUGGGGAGCCCAUCCCUGCUGAGGCAGGGAGGGUGGAGGUUGGGACCCAGCCUCACCUUGGCAAAGGAGCCUCACUGCUCGGGGCUCCAGCCCACCCU